GCUCCCGUCCCCUCCCGACCCCUCCCUCCCUCAGUCCCGCUCAGCGGCCGCGGCGGCAGCACCGGGGGUGCUGGUCUGGGCUGAGCUGCCUCCUUCUCCUCCUCCGCCUCAGCUCCGCCGUCCCCUGGGCACGAUGCAGUUUAUGUUGCUUUUUAGUCGCCAGGGGAAACUGAGACUCCAGAAGUGGUAUGUCCCAUUAUCUGACAAAGAAAAGAAGAAAAUCACAAGGGAACUUGUUCAAACAGUAUUAGCCCGCAAACCGAAAAUGUGCAGCUUCCUGGAAUGGAGAGACCUGAAGAUUGUCUACAAAAGAUAUGCAAGCCUGUAUUUCUGCUGUGCUAUUGAAGAUCAGGACAAUGAACUAAUAACUCUGGAAAUAAUUCAUCGCUAUGUAGAACUUCUUGACAAGUAUUUUGGCAGUGUAUGUGAACUUGAUAUCAUCUUCAAUUUUGAAAAAGCCUAUUUCAUUCUGGAUGAGUUCCUUUUAGGAGGGGAAGUUCAGGAGACUUCCAAGAAAAAUGUCCUUAAAGCCAUCGAACAAGCAGAUCUUUUACAGGAGAGCCAGAAUGAAGACUGGGGAGGUUUGUCUGAGGAUAUCUUAUGAUUAAGAGCAAUCUAAGGCAUUAGCCCUUUUGACCCAUCUAAAUGAUUGGAUGCUAAAGAAGCAGAGACCCCACGUAGUGUACUUGAAGAAAUUGGAUUGACAUAAAUCUUCUCUUCAGCUGAUACCAUCUCAGUGUUUCAUACUGUAAAUGUUCACUGCCUUCAUUGUAAUGUUUAGCUAAUGGUGUAAGAUGCUGUUUGUCAGUAUUACUGUUUUGCUAAGCUGCUUCAUUCAGGCCUACAAGAAGAAUACUUUUUUUUGAAAAGGGAACAAGAAACCUAAGUUCAGAAUUUAUAAGUGAAAGGGAAUUAGAUUUAAAUUGACUCAGUGUUUCCCUUCACUGCAUUUAUAGGAAAAUUGCAUUUGACUUCGGUAAGUCUACUGUUUUUUAUAAGUAAACUUGACUUCAGGAAAUAAAUGUAUUACUAUGACAUAAGCAUAGUCUAUCUAAAUGAAAAGAAACUACAUGGACAACUCCAAAUAUGAAACAUUACAGUGUAGAAAUUGUUCAUGCAACCAAAGAAUUUGUUCAUCUACAUUUUAGUCACCACUUGUGAUUAUUCUGCUUAUUUCAGUUGUAGCAUAAGGAUUGGAAAUACCUGUUUACUACUGAAUUUGUCAUUAUACCAAAGAAUCCUGCCAGGAUCUGCAUAUCAAACUGGUAAAAACUGUUAAGGUGAUAACUGCUUUUUAAAGAAAACUGAUCAACUCACUAGACGUGAAGGUGUAUUUUAGUGUAGCUACCUUGAGCAAAACUGUGCAAGUUACUAUACUCAAAAGGGAAUGCAUGUAGGGGAAAAGGAAAACCAACCCAGACUGAAUAAGGAGACUGUUUUUAGGUCUGAUAUUAGCUUGCUUAGACUAUGAACACCUUAAAGGAUGUCAGCUUUCUAACUGAAUAGAGAGAGGCAUAAUGAAAAUUGAAUACUUUCAGAGAUGAGAAAGAAGAAGAUUUACAGAAGGAACCUUUUAUUAUUUUCUUUCAAAGUCUACCAAUUAAUUUGUAUGCAUUGGUGUUUUAUAGUUAUGCUUUAUUGGGUGUAUAGGUACCUUUAGGACACAUCAAGUGUCAAAGUCAUUUAACUGCUUUUCUUGAUCAACACGUUAAAUAUGUGCCACAUUCCUUACAAAACUCCUGCGUGAUGUACAGUUGAACCAGCUAAUUUGCAGUGAGAGCUCUUAAACAUUAGAUUUGCAUAGUAUAUUCACUACAAAUCAUGUAAAUUGAUAUCCAAUAUAUUUUGACACUUCUGAGCAGACUUUCAGUAAUUACAAACUAAGCCUGUUUCACUUGUGGAAAUAUGAUCCAUAUGUGGUGUUGAGGAGACAGUGGGAGUCUAGGCCUGGGAGUAGCCAAGUUCUGUUGCCUGUCCCCAUGGAGGGGUUGCCGUCCCUGCCCUCCCGUCCCAGAUCCCUCUCUCUAGGAGUUUUGGCUUGCUCACCUGAGUAGUGCCAUGUUUUCACCAAGUUUAGCACUGGCAGUGGUCACUGGCACUUCUGUGGCCAGCUGGAGAGCCAAUUGAGUAGCACCCAGCCAAAGGAAGAGUGCGGUGUUGCCACUUCUAAGACCCCUGAUCCAGAUGCAGCAUCAGUACUUGUGCCAGCAGAACGGCCAGCCAGGGCCAGGCUCUGUGUGCCACUCCUGUGGCAGUGCCAGGGCCGUACCUGUGAACUCAAGCCAUUAGAACUUGUCCAGGGAUGCCCACUGCGGGAUUUGCACACAGAUGCCAGAUGACCAGAGACCAUUUUUGUCCCAGGGCAUUUCCCCAGUGCACAGCGGGCAGGGAUAGGUGAGGGUAGAGGGGUAGCAAAAGGACCCUGUGUGUGAGAUUAAAGUGGUAAAAUGGAUUUAAGUCAAACCAGAAGCAAUUUUAUAUGUAUUAAACACGUUUUUAAAGUUUACACUGUCACUUGUAUGUGCUUGGCUGGAUUAAGCUUCGUUGUGAUUGUGACAAACUGUUUGACCUCUGUCUGUCACAUUGGUUUAGUUGUAAUAAAUGUCCAUUUUUACACCA